UACGUAGGGUGCAAGCGUUGUCCGGAAUUAUUGGGCGUAAAGAGCUCGUAGGUGGUUCGGUAAGUCGGGUGUUAAACCCCCAGCUCACCUGGGACGCCACUCGAUACUGCCAUGGCUAGAGUCCGGUAGGGGACCACGGAAUUCCUGGUGUGAGCGGUGAAAUGACGCAGAUAUCAGGAGGAACACCGGUGGCGAAGGCGGUGGUCUGGGCCGGCACUGACGCUGAGGAGCGAAAGCGUGGGUAGCAAACAGG
rnacentral:rRNA from 1 species